GGACCCGCACAAGUAGUGGAGCAUGUGGUUUAAUUCGAAGAUACGCGCAGAACCUUACCAACACUUGACAUGUUCGUCGCGACUUUAAGAGAUUAAAGUUUUCGGUUCGGCCGGACGAAACACAGGUGCUGCAUGGCUGUCGUCAGCUCGUGUCGUGAGAUGUUGGGUUAAGUCCCGCAACGAGCGCAACCCUCACUUUUAGUUGCCAUCAUUAAGUUGGGCACUCUGAAAGAACUGCCAGUGAUAAGCUGGAGGAAGGUGGGGAUGACGUCAAGUCCUCAUGGCCCUUACGUGUUGGGCUACACACGUGCUACAAUGGUAUCUACAACAGGAAGCAAAACGGCGACGUUAAGCAAAUCCUUAAAAGAUGUCUCAGUUCGGAUUGUCGUCUGCAACUCGACGGCAUGAAGUCGGAAUCGCUAGUAAUCGC
rnacentral:rRNA from 1 species